rnacentral:lncRNA from 1 species
UAAAGAUACAUUGAAUUGACAAAAACACAAACAUGUGGUGUGCAACAAAAAAGAUAGCCCGUCCAGCCAACAAUCGAUCUUAAACUCUUCUCCCGCAAAAACAGAACAGAAUAGAAAUCAUCGAGAUAGCAAGAGACUCACUGGCUCUGGCACUUUGGAUCAGCCAAACGGAGCCGUACAGGGAAGCCAAGCUCCAAGGCGUCUAGGUGC